UACGAAGGGGGCUAGCGUUGCUCGGAAUCACUGGGCGUAAAGGGUGCGUAGGCGGGUCUUUAAGUCAGGGGUGAAAUCCUGGAGCUCAACUCCAGAACUGCCUUUGAUACUGAGGAUCUUGAGUUCGGGAGAGGUGAGUGGAACUGCGAGUGUAGAGGUGAAAUUCGUAGAUAUUGGGAAGAACACCGGUGGCGAAGGCGGCGCUCUGGACCGAGACUGACGCUGAGGCGCGAAAGCGUGGGGAGCGAUCCGG
rnacentral:rRNA from 1 species